CUCACUGGUGAGGUUCCCGAAAACUGUGCAACACCAGCAGAGCCAAUGAGUGAUGGCCAGGGCCAUGGGGAUAUAGGUGCACCACCCACUGCUCUGUUUGCAGAAAUAAUUGUUGUGACCCAGCUAAGGCUGGGAAAGGGGGAAUGCAUGAGCAUGUUGGGACCAAGGCAUCAGAGCUGGGAGGACAGUUGUACAUUGUGUGGGAGCUUGGCAAGCCCCUCCAAAUGUCUGUCUUGACUCCUGCUGAAUGGACUUGCACACAGAAACUGGGUCCUGAGCUACGCUCUGCCUUGUGAUGGAAGGGACAGGCAUAUGCCAGCCUAGACCUCGGCCCUUGCCGGAUUGGAGUCCAAGGUGUGCAUAUCCAUCCAGAUGUGGUGCGUGACCUCAGGGUCUGUGACAGAAGCUCUGGCAUCCUCACUUUGCUGGAAUGGGUCACAGGCUAUGGGAGAGCCUGUCAGGUGGUAUCUGUGGAUUUGUAUGAGGUGCUGAGGGACUCAAGGCUGUCGUCUCUAAUACCUUGAUGUAAUACCAGGUAUCCCCAAGAGCUUCUUUGGGAAGGGAAAGGUCUAGAAACCACCUCAGCUGAGCUGGUGUGCAGUCUGCAUGUCCACUGCCCUUUCUGCUCAUCCCAGUAGGAAAUGGUGACUGUGGCAUGUUAGCCAGUCACCGGGACAGGACUGUCCCCAGGCGCUCUGAUGCCAAAACAUGUCAAGUAUUGGCACGCUGUCAGCAGCCAUGGCUCUGGACAGGAAUCCAUGAAAUGCUGGCAUGCAGACUACAAGAUUCCAGCAAGGCGUGGGAAUGUAGGUGUCAUUCCCCAAUUCUUCCUGGUAGGCCACAUUUGGAGUGGGAACUCCAUCAACUUGGCCUGUAGUUCAAAUAUGGUGAGAAAUCUCGGGAUCUGGGGCACCAACUUUGCCCGCUUGUGUAAAUUCACCAGAGACCUUGUCCUGUGGCAAGGGGGAAUAAUGACCGUCCCCAAAACUGUCUGGGACAAAGACAUUCAUGUGAGGAUAAAUAACAGUAGAAAAAUUGCAGAUAGGAGGCCACACCUAACAUCAUUUAAUCGUUGGUGGACAACAGAACAUGAGGAACUCCAGUAGACAUUGGAGUUGUUGAAACCCACUGACUGCCGAUUGGCUCUCAACAGGGUGGGGAGAGUCUGGCCACUCUUCCGAAUUGGAAGGGGAGGCAAUUUGCCCACAGGAAUGUCUCUGUCCCGGCAGAGUGGGACCAUGGAGGUGGAUGGUUAUCUGGGUCACUCCUUGGGCUUCAGUGUUGCAUAGGUUACUGGACCCUAGCAGAAGCUUCCCCACAUGAUGUAGGUGACAAGGGAGAAUGGACAGCUACAGACCAUCGAUGAUGAUGGUCUGACUGUGCGCACUACGAUCCCAGAUGAUUCACAAUGAUCCAAUUUCCAGAUAUAGUGGCCAUAGUGCUGUACCUCACUGGUGAGGUUCCCGAAAACUGUGCAACACCAGCAGAGCCAAUGAGUGAUGGCCAGGGCCAUGGGGAUAUAGGUGCGCCACCCUCUGCUCUGUUUGCAGAAAUAAUUGGUGUGACCCAGCUAAGGCUGGGAAAGGGGGAAUGCAUGAGCAUGUUGGGACCAAGGCAUCAUAGCUGGGAGGACAGUUGUACAUUGUGUGGGAGAUUGGCAAGCCCCUCCAAAUGUCUGUCUUGACUCCUGCUGAAUGGUCUUGCACACAGAAACUGGGUCCUGAGCUACGCUCUGCCUUGUGAUGGAAGGGACAGGCAUAUGCCAGCCUAGACCUCGGCCCUUGCCGGAUUGGAGUCCAAGGUGUGCAUAUCCAUCCAGAUGUGGUGCGUGACCUCAGGGCCUGUGACAGAAGCUCUGGCAUCCUCACUUUGCUGGAAUGGGUCACAGGCUAUGGGAGAGCCUGUCAGGCGGUGUCUAUGGAUUUGUAUGAGGCGCUGAGGGAUUCAAGGCUGUCGUCUCUAAUACCUUGAUGUAAUACCAGGUAUCCCCAAGAGUGUCUUUGGGAAGGGAAAGGUCUAGAACCCACCUCAGCUGAGCUGGUGUGCAGUCUGCAUGUCCACUGCCCUUUUUGCUCAUCCCAGUAGGAAAUGGUGACUGUGGCAUGUUAGCCAGUCACCGGGACAGGACUGUCCCCAGGCGCUCUGAUGCCAAUACAUGGCAAGUAUUGGCACGCUGUCAGCAGCCAUGGCUCUGGACAGGAAUCCAUGAAAUGCUGGCAUGCAGACUACAAGAUUCCAGCAAGGCGUGGGAAUGUAGGUGUCAUUCCCCAAUUCUUCCUGGUAGGCCACAUUUGGAGUGGGAACUCCAUCAACUUGGCCUGUAGUUCAAAUAUGGUGAGAAAUCUUGGGAUCUGGGGCACCAACUUUGCCCACUUGUGUAAAUUCCACAGAGACCUUGUCCUGGGGCAAUGGUUCUGAUCCCGGGGGAAUAAUGACCGUCCCCAAAACUGUCUGGGACAAAGACAUUCAUGUGAGGAUAAAUAACAGUAGAAAAAUUGCAGAUAGGAGGCCACACCUAACAUCAUUUAAUCGUUGGUGGACAACAGAACAUGAGGAACUCCAGUAGACAUUGGAGUUGUUGAAACCCACUGACUGCCGUUUGGCUCUCAACGUGGUGGGGAGAGUCUGGCCACUCUUCCGAAUUGGAAGGGGAGGCAAUUUGCCCACAGGAAUGUCUCUGUCCCGGCUGAGUGGGACCAUGGAGGUGGAUGGUUAUCUGGGUCACUCCUUGGGCUUGGGUGUUGCAUAGGUUACUGGACCCUAGCAUAAGCUUCCCCACAUGAUGUGGGUGACAAGGGAGAAUGGACAGCUACAGACCAUCGAUGAUGAUGGUCUGACUGUGCGCACUACGAUCCCAGAUGAUUCACAAUGAUCCAAUUUCCAGAUAUUGUGGCCAUGGUGCUGGACCUCACUGGUGAGGUUCCCGAUAAAUGUGCAACACCAGCAGAGCCAAUGAGUGAUGGCCAGGGCCAUGGGGAUAUAGGUACGCCACCCUCUGCUCUGUUUGCAGAAAUAAUUGCAGUGACCCAGCUAAGGCUGGGAAAGGGGGAAUGCAUGAGCAUGUGGGGACCAAGGCAUCAGAGCUGGGAGGACAGUUGUACAUUGUGUGGGAGCUUGGCAAGCCCCUCCAAAUGUCUGUCUUGACUCCUGCUGAAUGGACUUGCACACAGAAACUGGGUCCUGAGCUACGCUCUGCCUUGUGAUGAAAGGGACAGGCAUAUGCCAGCCUAGACCUCGGCCCUUGCCGGAUUGGAGUCCAAGGUGUGCAUAUCCAUCCAGAUGUGGUGCAUGACCUCAGGGCCUGUGACAGAAGCUCUGGCAUCCUCAAUUUUCUGGAAUGGGUCACAGGCUAUGGGAGAUCCUGUCAGGCGGUGUCUAUGGAUUUGUAUGAGGCGCUGAGGGACUCAAGGCUGUCGUCUCUAAUACCUUGAUGUAAUACCAGGUAUCCCCAGGAGCUUCUUUGGGAAGGGAAAGAUCUAGAACCCACCUCAGCUGAGCUGGUGUGCAGUCUGCAUGACCACUGCCCUUUCUGCUCAUCCCAGUAGGAAAUGGUG
rnacentral:lncRNA from 1 species